rnacentral:tRNA from 1 species
GCCACCAUGGCGGAAUUGGCAGACGCGUCGGACUCAAAAUCCGAUGGCCGUUAAGGCCGUGCCGGUUCGACCCCGGCUGGUGGUACUA